GCGAGCCUUGUCGCCCCUGAUCCCUCCCCUCCUUGCAAUCAAUUGGGUGUGAUGACUGCCACUCAAACCCCAGAAAAAGUUCCCCACCAGCUCACAAGCCAGUUAUGCGCAUGCGUAGACCUUUAAGAGAUGCCUGGCCCGCCAUGCCGAGUCAGGGCAAGUUCGGGAGACCGCGUAAUUGUUGCGUGACGUCACCAGAUGCGACGGGCGCUGAGAAUGAGUCACACCCCUUGAGCAUGCGUAGUGCCUCCUGGUGGUCAUCUUCGAGGGUCGUGGGGAUGAAGGCCGUGUCUCUUCCUCACUGCGUACUCUUGACCUUGGCACGAUUGAAGAGGGUGAUUCCAGCUUCCGCUGCUUUUCUUCAGGAUGUAGUCUCCAGUUCAGUUCCAACGACCAAUCAGUAGCUUCUUGGUUUCCUUGCCCCAGUAACCCACAUCCAUCUCUUAUUGUUUGUUUGAAACUGUAUUCUAACCCUUUCCUCCCUCAGCACUGGGCGUGGUAUGUGGCCAGGGGUUGCCACGCCUGAAGGGGCCGUUCCCCCACGGCCCCGUCCUCCCCCAGGCCAUGGCCGCCCCCCCCUUCCCCAUCAGUUGCGGGGUGAGGCCUUGGAGUGACCCGGAGCUGGCAGAGGGGCACAGCCAGGAUCACCCACCGGGGCUGAAGGUGCUCGGGGAAGCAACGGAGACGGAGGAGGAGGAAGAUGAGGCCUGAGUGCCGCUGCCAGGGGUGUCCCGGUGGUGGCCCUCACUGCUGCAGCAGCGGCUGGGGGUGGGAGAGAGGCGGCUGCGGAGGCAGCGGGGGAGACACUGGGACACGAUUUUGGGGGUGGGCUGCACUGCUGCUGGAGGGCCUGGGUGGGUCCCUGGGCUGAGCCCAAGCCGGGAGAGGGAGUGAGAUGGGGGGGAGAAUAAAAAAACCCACAAAGUGGAACUCAUGGAUUGAGAUAAAAAGCUAAGACAGAGAGGGAUGAAAAAAGGAAGACAGUAAUAGUGUUGAUAAUAACAUAAUAUACAUUUACAAAACAAGUGGUGCACAAGCAAUUGCUCACCAGCUGCCAACCGAUGCCCACCCAGUCCCCAAACAGUGGCUGCCCCACUCCCAGCCAACUCUCCUCAUUUUUUAACGAUUUUUUCACAUGGAUACGUAUCUUUGUUUUGUAAGGUUUACUCAGAAAUAAUGAUUUUGGCAGAAAGGUGGAAAACUGGUGGGCCAGGGCUGGCUCAGAACAAUGAGAUAGUUUUAUCCGUUCCAAUAGUUUGUAUCAUCAAGUCCCCAUCCCCGCAAGACGAUCACAGAAUUUGGCCGUGAGACUCCACCCUGCUCCAUGCUCUGUGUUUUCUUAGAGUCCCCUGGUGUUUGCUUACAGCUAAGGUCGCAGGUCCUAUUGCUUAGGGAACUAUCAUGGAACAGAUUAUCCGGCGCUUUUCGCCCUGGGGGUUUCACCUUCUGGAACACAGACAGUUCCAUGUAAGCAUGAGGAAAAAACUCCUUUGCUCUGACAGGGCACUGGAACAGGCUGCCCGGAGAGAUGGUGGAAUCUCCUUCUCUGGAGAUAUUCAAGACCUGCCUGGACGCCUGCCAGCGCGGCCUGCUGUAGGGAACUUGCUUUAGCAGGGACUUGAUGAUCUCUAGAGGCCCAUUCCAAUCCAUACAAUUCCAUCAUUCUCUCAAGAGGUGGACAUUUCAGUAAGGCACUGUGGGAAUACAAGAAAGACUAUUCGGAGCAGAAGCUGCAGAGCUAGACAAACAGCAUGCGAAGGCAAGGCUGAGAAGCAAGGACAUCUCUGGAAUACACAGAAAAAGUAACUACAGUUUAGCAACAAUUGUGAGGGAUUGUAACCAUUCGUGCCCAGCGUGAUUGUGAACUGCUUGCUCUGCAUACGUACCUUCGGGGUACAGAAAACAGUGGAAAAUUACUGGGUUAAGACAGCGCUGGUAUAAAAGCUUGUAGAUGAAGAUGAUAAAGGUCUUCGCUAUGCAACCGCAUUGAGGUCGGUGACCUAAUUGCCACAAGGCACCUCCAGUAAAUAUUCCACACUCUUUCACUGCACUCCUGCCCACCUGAUAAGGCAGUGAAACAGCCUCUGCUGCACUCGUGCCAACUGACACAGCAAUGACAUGGCCGUACUCCUGCCCUUAGAGUCACCACAGCGAUAUGGAUGUUGUUGUCAUUAUGGAUGCCUGUCAUUAGUGACAGUGCAGUGGCAUGGCCCGCACUGCAGUUUUGCCAAUGGCACAGUUGCUGCUGCAAUCAUGGCCACUGUGACAACACAGUGAUAUGGCCAUCGUUGUGCUCCUGGCAACUGUGACACGGCAGUGACACCACCACCCCUACUGUGCUCCUGCCCAGUGUGACACCACAGUGACACAGCCAUCACUGGACUGCCCACUGUGACAUCCACGUGGCAAGGCCGCCCAUUGUGACAAUGAAGUGAGAUUGCCACCGCUGUACUCCUGUGACUGUGACACCGCAGUGACAUCACUGCCACUGUGCUCUUGCGCACUGUGGGCACCGCAAUGACAUGGACUCUGCUGUGAUCCUGCCAUUUGUGAGACACUAAUCCUAAUGCCUCCCCAUGAGAGAAUAAACCAGCAAGAGUA